rnacentral:rRNA from 1 species
CCUACGGGCGGCAGCAGUGGGGGAUAUUGCACAAUGGGGGAAACCCUGAUGCAGCGACGCCGCGUGUGGGAAGACGGUCCUCUGGAUUGUAAACCACUGUCCCCAGGGACGAAGAUGACGGUACCUGGGGAGGAAGCUCCGGCUAACUACGUGCCAGCAGCUGCGGUAAUACGUAGGGAGCGAGCGUUGUCCGGAAUUACUGGGUGUAAGGGGAGCGUAGGCGGGACUGCAAGUUGGGUGUCAAAUCUACCGGCUCAACCGGUAGCCGCACUCAAAACUGCAGUUCUUGAGUGAAGUAGAGGCAGGCGGAAUUCCUAGUGUAGCGGUGAAAUGCGUAGAUAUUAGGAGGAACACCAGUGGCGAAGGCGGCCUGCUGGGCUUUUACUGACGCUGAGGCUCGAAAGUGUGGGGAGCAAACAGGAUUAGAUACCCCUGUAGUC